rnacentral:lncRNA from 1 species
AGGUGUUUAAAAUGAAUAUCUCACAAUGACAACGACAGAAUAAUAGGGGGCAAGGGCAAUCACUGCCACAUCUGAAGGCGGUUCAUUGUAAAGUAAUGCCACACUCUUAACCUGGGACUAAAAAAUAAUGAACAUGCCCAUUGUCCUUCCCUUCUUCCUCCUGCCUGACUCAUGGACACGAUGCUUGAUGGUCAAGGAGCUGUCUUGCCACCAUGAAGAUGAAAGCAACAAUCUAACGACGGUACCGGGAGCUAGGAGGAACCUGGGUCCCUAGAGCAGCUGCAGCAGCCUGGCCUGCCCACCUUUGAAUCCUGACCAUGUGGGAAAACAAAUCCCUGUUUGGUAAAGACAUGGUAAUUGGGUCUCUGUUUACAUGCAUGCAGACGCAAUGCUGACUGAUACAUUCAGUAUUUCCAUUUUUGUGCCUUUUGUACAGCUCCAAUAAAACCAAGUAACAAGAUCAUUGCUACACAAAAUCUUCU